AAUUAAAGAAUAUUGUUCUAACUGAAAUAAACAAAAUGGUCACCUCAUUUAAUCAACAGUAACACGAUGUCUAAAACAUCUGAGUGUAUAUAUAAUAAAAACGCUUCUUCCACGUAUUUCAGUAAGUACAAUAUACGGUAAGGAACACAAACUUUGUCAAGUAAAAAUGUAUUAUAUAACUAUAAUAGCGAGUGUUUAAGAAAUGAUACUUAAUUGAUAAUGUCUGCUCUCUUCAUCUACAUAUUUAGAGAUAUACAGAUCAAGCACAUUCUUCCUUGUAAAAUCCAAGUUAAGCAUCAGUAUUUAUCAUUGUGCGAAACAACAGCUGUUCCCAACACUAACUGAUACACGUAAAAGAUAAAAGAGUGCCUUGCCACAAAUGUUAUAGUACAUAGUGUGCUGCUUCGCUCUUGACGAAGACAGAGGUUAAAAAAAAAAAGUAAAUAAUGUUUUAUCAGAAGAUAAUAGCGUUUGUCCUUUUAUUGGGAGUAUUUGUUCUCAACCACUUGACUAAUGGGUCAGAUUCUAAACACAAAGACCAUACGCAUUAUCGGCCAUCUGGUGGUGCAGAUUACAACAUUUUGCGAGACGAUCAUUUAAUUCGAGACAUUGAGCAUCUACGAGAGGACGUUCAAAGCCUUUAUACAUUCGAAUUAUCAGAAAAUAUUGAGGAUAAAGAGGUGGAAUUUUAUUACUUUCAGUAAG